CGCAUGUGAUGGAGUUUGGAGAGGAAUACUCUCUUCUUGAACCAUAUGCUUGACGUGCCUGAAGAACCGGCACCUGAAAUGGUUCCAUGCCAAAUUGAUGGGGCUGGAACCUACCCACCCCUCCAAACGGGGAUGGGACAAUUUUCUUAUUGGGAGCUCUUCCCAAGUGAGGAUGAAUGCUAUAGCUCCACUUGUAGUGUUUUUGAGAGAACGAGGGAGGUAUGAUUUCUUUUAGUUAUUUUUUGAGCAUGAUAUAGUGGUAUAAUUAAUUACAAUGG
rnacentral:lncRNA from 1 species